UACGAAGGGGGCUAGCGUUGCUCGGAAUUACUGGGCGUAAAGGGAGCGUAGGCGGAUAGUUUAGUCAGAGGUGAAAGCCCAGGGCUCAACCUUGGAAUUGCCUUUGAUACUGGCUAUCUUGAGUACGGAAGAGGUAUGUGGAACUCCGAGUGUAGAGGUGAAAUUCGUAGAUAUUCGGAAGAACACCAGUGGCGAAGACGACAUACUGGUCCGUUACUGACGCUGAGGCUCGAAAGCGUGGGGAGCAAACAGG
rnacentral:rRNA from 1 species